rnacentral:rRNA from 1 species
UUGAACGCUGGCGGCAUGCUUUACACCUGCAAGUCGAACGGCAGCGCGGGCUUCGGCCUGGCGGCGAGUGGCGAACGGGUGAGUAAUACAUCGGAACGUGCCCAGUAGUGGGGGAUAGCUCGGCGAAAGCCGGAUUAAUACCGCAUACGGCCUGAGGGUGAAAGCGGGGGAUCUUCGGACCUCGCGCUCUUGGAGCGGCCGAUGGCAGAUUAGCUAGUUGGUGGGGUAAAGGCCUACCAAGGCGACGAUCUGUAGCUGGUCUGAGAGGACGACCAGCCACACUGGGUCUGAGACACGGCCCAGACUCCUACGGGAGGCAGCAGUGGGGAAUUUUGGACAAUGGGCGAAGGCCUGAUCCAGCAAUGCCGCGUGUGUGAUGAAGGCCUUCGGGUUGUAAAGCACUUUUGGCGGGAACGAAAAGGACUGUGCUAAUACCACGGUUCGAUGACGGUACCCGCAGAAUAAGCACCGGCUAACUACGUG